rnacentral:lncRNA from 1 species
CAGAGAGGGAGAGGCCAGAAGUCUGACUGACCAAGUUCCUUUCAUUCUGAUUGCAACAUUCCUGCUGAAGCUCUUGUUCCUCUACAAACUAAUAGAAUGAGAUGGGAGAUGUCAGGAGGAUUGAAUAUUUAUCCUGGACUCAUCUGACCUUUGCUCACAUAUUGUGUCACAUGUUAACCAAAAUGACCUCAGAAUCUCCUUGGCAGCCGCUUCAGAAAAGAGGACUCGCUUGUCUGGCCUUGAAUUUCAAAUGUGUUUUCUAUAAGCACAAGGUGUCUUUCCAGUUCUGUUGUGCAGCCGUGCAGGCGAUCAUGUGCUUCCUCUUCUGGAAGUCAGGGCUGGCUGUUUAAAACAAGCCCUACCCUUCCAUUAGUAUUUCUUUACUAAAUAAUUGGUUUGUUGAAAUAAGCCACUUUUCCCUUCAACUUUUUGUUGUUGCUGCUGUUCUUAAUUUUUACCAUGCUUUGACAAAUGUCACAAACAUUUUUUACACAGAGCAUAUCAGGUUAUCAUAACAUUUAUAGUCUUAUGUAGAAAGUAGAAUCUAGGAGGUCACAUUUAAUUUGAGCAUAUGUAUUUAGAUUGUUAGGGAAGAAAGUCAUAUGCACUUUCCUUUUAGGAUAAUUAUCUUUAGCUAUACAUUUUAUUUUGUAAUUUUUAAGGGCUACCUAGCUCAAGGAUAUGUCUACAAGUAGUUAAUUAUGAGUUAAUGUUCUUCCCCAUGCAGAUUGAAUAAAUAACUAUACUUUUCCAUAACUUACAAUAACUGUAUGUGCUAGAUAAUUUUUUAAAUGUGAUGGUUAUUCAAUUCAUUUUGAACUCAGGAAUCAAAUUUUUAGGACUUAAUCUUGCAGCUCUGAGUAGCACUAGAGAGUGUAGCUGAAAUAGAGGGUAGAUUCUAGUCAUUUUGUAAGAGUAUGCUAUUUGGAAGAGAAAUUUAAAAUUUUAAAUACACACAUAAAAUAUUUAUUUUAUCUACUUAAAGAGAAAUGCAAUAGAAAAAUAUUAGAAAUAAUUAUUACGUAUACAUCACUAUUAAAAUUCAUAAAUAUUACUUUACAUGUUUUCUUCUAAAUCUUAUUUUUGUUCCAAAGAGAGUACUGCAAUUUACUUAACCAUGUUAUCAAUAUAUGGUAUUUAGGUUCUUCCUGAUACUAUUCCUAUUUUAAAUAAUCUUAGGCAAAUAUCGUCAUUCAUAAAUUAUUUUCCUUCUUUGGACUUUUAUAAGAUAAAUCAUCAAAAAAAGGAUUAACAGAUUAAUUGUAUAAACAUUUAAAAAAGUUUUAUAACAUUGUUUCUCCUUAACAUUGCAUUAACCUCUAAUAAUAUCUUUAAUAAGUGUUCAUUACAGAAAAAUUGGAAAAAAAUAUAAACAAUAGAAAGAAUAUGAAAGUGAUUACCACCUAGUGGUAAGUACUCAUAAUGUUUUAAGGUAAGUUUAUAAAUACAUUUAAUGCUUUUGAAACAUAUUGUCAAAACUCUUGCAUAAAUACUUCUAAAAUUUGCAUCAUUACUAAUUGAAAACUAAGCUAAAUGUUUAUUUGCAUUGGGGACUGUCAUUAUUUUUGACUUUUGUUAAUUUAAAGUUGAAGCGUGGUGUCCAUUAAGAUACCUUUAAAAACACAUUUUUUUCUUAAUUACUUUUAACUCUUUGAUUGUUUCCUCCUUAACUGUGUGACUAAUUUUUAGUUCCCAGAAUAAAAUGGUCUUGGCCUAAAUUCUAAAGUUUUCAAAUUAAGAAAAUUUGCUUUUGUACUUAUUUAAAGUUGUUUAGAUUGAAUGUGCCUUAGUUAUUUUGACGUUAUUCCUAAUGAUCUGUAAAGAAUUGCCCAGGGAAAUAUAAUAGUGCUUAUUUUCAGAAAUAAGGAACUGUAGUGAGUAAAAGAAAAAUGUCAGUGAAGUGUUACUCUCCUAUGAAGAUGUAAAUCAUAACUAUCUAAUAAUGAGGAAUCUUCUAGUAAGGGGUUAUGAGGUCAGCUUUCGUAGCUUCAUUAGGAUGAGUUAAAAUGGAAACAACUUAAAUGUUUAAAAAAAUGUUUGUCUAUAACUAUAUCUAAAACAAAUGUGCAUACUAUAUACAUUUUUCUUAUUUUAAACUCAGGAGAACUCUGAAUUAUUUAGAUGAGCAAUACAUUUUUUCUUUUGUUUUUAGCUAAAACUUUUAUGCUUGUAAACCCAUUUAUCCUAUCUUUGAUGAUUCUGAUAGAACAUAAGCAUAAUGGAAAUGUGUCUGAAAGCUGCAUAGGAACAACUAGCCCCUGCCCUCAAAAAAAAAUUAAUG